rnacentral:rRNA from 1 species
AUCNACCAUUUAGUGGGGAAUAACUGUUGGAAACGACAGCUAAUACCGCAUAAUAUUGCUGGAUAAUUUCCAGUAAUGAAAGGAGCUUUCAAGCUCCGCUGAUUGAUGAGGAUGCGGCGCAUUAGCUAGUUGGUAGGGUAAUGGCCUACCAAGGCAAUGAUGCGUAGCCGAUCUGAGAGGAUGAACGGCCACAUUGGGACUGAGACACGGCCCAAACUUCUACGGAAGGCAGCAGUAGGGAAUUUUUCACAAUGGGCGAAAGCCUGAUGGAGCAAUGCCGCGUGACUGAUGAAGGUCUUCGGAUUGUAAAGGUCUGUUGUAAGGGAAGAAAUGGUAAAACAGGAAAUGGUUUUAUCUAUGACGGUACCUUACCAGAAAGCCACGGCUAACUAUGUGCCAGCAGCCGCGGUAAUACAUAGGUGGCAAGCGUUAUCCGGAUUUAUUGGGCGUAAAGGGUGCGUAGACGGUUUUGCAAGUCUGANGUUAAAUUUAGGAGCUCAACUCCUAAUCGCCUUGNAAACUACAAGACUAGAGUAUA